AUUGAACGCUGGCGGCAGGCCUAACACAUGCGAGUCGAACGGUAACAGGAAGAAGCUUGCUUCUUUGCUGACGAGUGGCGGACGGGUGUGUAAUGUCUGGGAAACUGCCUGAUGGAGGGGGAUAACUACUGGAAACGGUAGCUAAUACCGCAUAACGUCGCAAGACCAAAAAGGGGGACCUUCGGGCCUCUUGCCAUCGGAUGUGCCCAGAUGGGAUUAGCUAGUAGGUGGGGUAACGGCUCACCUAGGCGACGAUCCCUAGCUGGUCUGAGAGGAUGACCAGCCACACUGGAACUGAGACACGGUCCAGACUCCUACGGGAGGCAGCAGUGGGGAAUAUUGCACAAUGGGCGCAAGCCUGAUGCAGCCAUGCCGCGUGUAUGAAGAAGGCCUUCGGGUUGUAAAGUACUUUCAGCGGGGAGGAAGGGAGUAAAGUUAAUACCUUUGCUCAUUGACGUUACCCGCAGAAGAAGCACCGGCUAACUCCGUG
rnacentral:rRNA from 1 species